rnacentral:rRNA from 1 species
AGAGUUUGAUCCUGGCUCAGGACGAACGCUGGCGGCGCGCCUAACACAUGCAAGUCGAACGAGAGAGAGGAAGCUUGCUUCCUCAAUCGAGUGGCGAACGGGUGAGUAACGCGUGAGGAACCUGCCUCAAAGAGGGGGACAACAGUUGGAAACGACUGCUAAUACCGCAUAAGCCCACAGGUCGGCAUCGGCCAGAGGGAAAAGGAGCAAUCCGCUUUGAGAUGGCCUCGCGUCCGAUUAGCUAGUUGGUGAGGUAAUGGCCCACCAAGGCAACGAUCGGUAGCCGGACUGAGAGGUUGAACGGCCACAUUGGGACUGAGACACGGCCCAGACUCCUACGGGAGGCAGCAGUGGGGAAUAUUGCACAAUGGGGGAAACCCUGAUGCAGCGACGCCGCGUGGAGGAAGAAGGUCUUCGGAUUGUAAACUCCUGUUGUUGAGGAAGAUAAUGACGGUACUCAACAAGGAAGUGACGGCUAACUACGUGCCAGCAGCCGCGGU